UACGUAGGGGGCAAGCGUUGUCCGGAAUUAUUGGGCGUAAAGAGCGCGUAGGCGGCCUGCUAAGUCACACGUGAAAUCCCUCGGCUCAACCGGGGAACUGCGUGUGAUACUGGCGGGCUUGAAUUCGGGAGAGGGAUGUGGAAUUCCCGGUGUAGCGGUGAAAUGCGCAGAUAUCGGGAAGAACACCCGUGGCGAAGGCGGCUCUCUGGAACGCAACUGACGCUGAGACGCGAAAGCGUGGGGAGCAAACAGG
rnacentral:rRNA from 1 species